rnacentral:rRNA from 1 species
AGAACGAACGUUAGCGGCGCGCCUAAGACAUGCAAGUCGAGCGAGAAAGGGCUUCGGCCCCAGUACAGCGGCGCACGGGUGAGUAACACGUAGGUCAUCAACCCUCGAGUGGUGGACAACCCUCCGAAAGGAGAGCUAAUACAGCAUAACGCCAGCAAUGGCCAAAGCGGGCCUCUCCAUGGAAGCUCGCGCUUGAGGAUGAGCCUGCGGCCCAUCAGCUAGUUGGUUGGGGUAACGGCCCACCAAGGUUAAGACGGGUAGCUGGUCUGAGAGGAUGAACAGCCACACUGGAACUGAGACACGGUCCAGACUCCUACGGGAGGCAGCAGUCGGGAAUCUUCGCAAUGGGCGAAAGCCUGACGGAGCGACGCCGCGUGAGCGAUGAAGGCCUUCGGUUGUAAAGCUCUGUGGGAGGAAGAAGUAAGGGUAGGCCAAGUAACCUAUCUGAUGACGGUACUCCUUAGCAAGCACGGCUAACUCUGUGCCAGCAGCCG